UCCAAAACGCCCGCGCGCCUAAUCCCCAAAUCCAUCACGCCUUCUUCUCCCACCUCUUUUCUGCCAAAACCCUUCUCCCCUCCUCUCCCCCCUGCAAUAACCUGCCGAAAGUCUCUCUCUCUCUCUCUCUCUCUCUCUCUCUCUCUCUCUCUCUCCAUUUUCCACUCCAGCAUCUCUUGAUCUGCCUUCCAUUUCCGUUGCUAGUUGAAGACGUUAAUCUCUCGGCCGUUGUCGUCCUUCUCGCCGGAACACGCCAGAGUCCGAGAAGGCCCGCAAGAGGAAGUACGCUGAUCUCUCGGUCGUGCCCUCCUCAUCGUAACACGCCUCUCUCUCUUUGUAUCGCCUAAUCCAUGGAAGUCAUAGCUCGAGAAGCCAUAGCUGCUGCUAUCUCAACCAUUGGAGUUGUGAACAGAGUACUGGUACGUUGCCCUGGUUUUUUUUUUUUCCACCAUUUGGUCCGUAUCUAUGCUUUGGAAUGUAUGGAUAGGAUUUCAAAGGUGUUUUCCUAGUAUGUUCUCUCUAUAUGCACUAUGGACCGCUGUUUCCACUAAUGAGAUCAAACGGUCUCCAUUUCCUUCGGUGUUAGAGAAUGCAUUCAUUCAGUAACUGCAUGUUGUCUAACAGUGUAUCCUUCUCUUCUUUAUAACAAUAAAUCUAAACAAGACAUUUCACUAAUAAUAUUAUUCAUAUACUCUCUUCUACUCCUUAGUUAGGGAGUGCCUUUUUCUUUUCUUUCUUUCUUUCUUAAGUGGUGCUAUCAUCUUGUGGGUUUUUUCUUUCUUUCUUGUCUUUAUUCAAUGGAGUUAUGCCUCUGUGUUGGAUUUUUGACCAAGGGUUAAAGUAUCAUCUGAAGUAUAUAUGUAUUGCCUGAGAUGGACAUGUUUCAUCCAUGAAUGGCCUGGUUCUGGGGUCACGACCUUGAUUUUUAGACUCAUGCACUAUCAAUUUGUUUCUCUUUUUUUAUUUUUUUAAUCAAUUCUCUGAGAAAUUCUACUUCAUGUUUCUCUAAUGGAUUUUGCAGGAUUUCAGUUUGUUGUGUGUUCUUCAUUGUCCUAUGAUAGACUAACCAUUUGUUCUCGUUAGUUGUUACUUUAUCAUAUAGCCCUUGGAUGUUAUACUAUCACAAGAUCAUAACCAGAUAGUGGCUUUACUGAAGUAUGUACAAUAUAAUUUUCUACCUCUAAUCCAGUAAUGCUCUAUCAAACUCAUGAGUAUUCUAAGGUACCUCGAACUACCUCUGUUUGGACAUUUAUCAUAGAAGUAGCUCAUGAUCUCAACUUACCUAAUGUCUAUUUGGGCAUUUGUCUAAGGAUGGCAAGCACUAAAGAGCUUAAAGCUUAGUUCCCAUUUUGGCCCAAAGCCUAUAUUCUGAGAGUAGCUCAUGAACUUAAAUGUAGUGGUCAAAUGGGGAGCUCUUAAUUCUUGAGGAGAACAUAAAUAUGUAUUAGUCAGGUCCUGGCCAUGUUGGAAAACUGGCUAAUUACGACGAACAAGACACAACAACAUUGCUCAGAGUUGUUGAUUGCAACAGAUAUUCAACCACGGCCUUGUUUCAUCUAAGAAAGGGGGUCUUUUAGAGGCUACAUCUGGAUUUUUCUUUUCGUAGCUCAGUUUUUUGGUGAAUCUAUGUUGAGUGCCUCUAUUGGUUUCUUUAUUCCUUAGGGAAAGCAAGAUUCAUGGAGCCCGUAUGGACAAGGGCUGAAAGACAUGAAUUUAAACCUGGAUUCGAUCUCAGAAUCUCUUGAUUGUUUCUACAAACACUCUUCAACUUUCACAACCAAGGAGGUGAUUCACAUUCUUCGUUAUUAGUGGAACUGGACCAAUGCACAAGGUGGGCUUCACCAUGACAAUCACCUGGAAAUAAAAUCAAGCUAGUCCACUCUUUGAGUAGGCCCCACAACCAAAAUUAACAGACAACACUACAACAAAAGGUAGCAUU